CUACGGGGCGCUCCAGUGAGGAAUUUUGCGCAAUGGGCGAAAGCCUGACGCAGCAACGCCGCGUGAGUGAUGAAGGCCUUCGGGUCGUAAAGCUCUGUCAAGUGGGAAGAACCUAUGUAAUGUUAAUAUCAUUAUAUACUGACGGUACCACUGAAGGAAGCACCGGCUAACUCCGUGCCAGCAGCCGCGGUAAUAGCGGGGGGUGCAAGCGUUAUUCGGAAUCAUUGGGCGUAAAGGGCACGUAGGCGGCCUGGUAAGUCAGAUGUGAAAGCCCGGGGCUUAACCCCGGAAGUGCAUUUGAUACUGUCAGGCUUGAGUAUGGGAGAGGGAAGUGGAAUUCCUGGUGUAGAGGUGAAAUUCGUAGAUAUCAGGAGGAACACCGGUGGCGAAGGCGACUUCCUGGACCAAUACUGACGCUGAGGUGCGAAGGCGUGGGUAGCAAACAGGAUUAGAUACCCCUGUAGUC
rnacentral:rRNA from 1 species